GGGGGUAUGGCGCAAUGGUUAGCGUGUUCGGCUUCGAUGCCUAACAACCGAAAGGCUGCAGGUUCAAAUCCUGCUACCCUCG